ACGGAGGGGGCUAGCGUUGUUCGGAAUUACUGGGCGUAAAGCGCACGUAGGCGGAUAGUUAAGUUAGAGGUGAAAGCCCAGGGCUCAACCCUGGAACUGCCUUUGAUACUGGCUGUCUGGAGGUCGAGAGAGGUGAGUGGAAUUCCGAGUGUAGAGGUGAAAUUCGUAGAUAUUCGGAGGAACACCAGUGGCGAAGGCGGCUCACUGGCUCGAUACUGACGCUGAGGUGCGAAAGCGUGGGGAGCAAACAG
rnacentral:rRNA from 1 species